rnacentral:rRNA from 1 species
CAGCAGCCACGGGAAUACGAAGGGUGCAAGCGUUACUCGGAAUUACUGGGCGUAAAGCGUGCGUAGGUGGUGGUUUAAGUCCGUUGUGAAAGCCCUGGGCUCAACCUGGGAAUUGCAGUGGAUACUGGGUCACUAGAGUGUGGUAGAGGAUAGUGGAAUUUCCGGUGUAGCAGUGAAAUGCGUAGAGAUCGGAAGGAACAUCUGUGGCGAAGGCGACUAUCUGGGCCAACACUGACACUGAGGCACGAAAGCGUGGGGAGCAAACAGGAUUAGAUACCCGCGUAGUCCCUGUCUCUUAUAC